AGGCUCCAAUGACCAUUGAUCGCCCCUUCUAGUCGAGAGCGAGAGAGAGAGAUCCGAUAUGUCGUCGCACAACAAUUCGUCAUCGUCGGCGGCGAACGACCCUCGGCAACCGUCGGCGGCGAGGCCUUUUGUAGCCCCGCUGGUGUCCCCGCAAGAUCUUCCUGUUGAUUACUCCGGUUUCAUUGCCGUUAUCUGCGCCGUUGCCGGCGUCAUGUUUAGGUACAAGCUUGGCUCUUGGCUCGCUAUCAUAUUCUGCGCCCAAUCACUUGUUAAUAUGAAGAAUAUGGAGAAUGAUCUUAAGCAGAUAUCCAUGGCCAUGAUGUUUGCAAUAAUGGGAUUGAUGACCAACUAUUUUGGGCCUGCUCGACCAGCCAAACAAAGUUGAGAUUUGUUGAAUUGUGGAGACUCCAAGGAUUUGAAUUUAUGAUGGAAUGGUGAAACAAUAUUAAACGUUUGAGGCUUCUUAACCUUGUGAGCUAAUGCUUCAUAGAAAGCAUUCUUGUAGUUGUGGCCAAUAGUUAUGUCCCUUAUAUAUGUCCCAGCAAUUGGAGCAAUUGUUCUUUAAUAGGGUCAUACUUGUGGUUAUGUACUUGAGUAUACACACAAUCAGGCCAUUACUAAAGGGCUUCUACGUCAACCUCUUCUACUUGGUUCCAAGAUUCCAGGUUGACGGAGCACAUUAUUCAUGUGGGAACUUUUGUGUAAUUUCAAUGAUUUUGUUUUCUAGUAACCGGAAGUAGUCAAAUCCAGCAUACUUAUAGGCAGGCUUGUGUAUUGGAUUAAAUUUGACCUUUGUUGUUUCAUGUUAGUGAAAUUGAAGUAGAAUGGAUUGUCUU